CACGUAGGGGGCAAGCGUUGUCCGGAUUUAUUGGGCGUAAAGAGCUCGUAGGCGGCUCUGUAAGUCAGGUGUGAAACCUCCAGGCUCAACCUGGAGACGCCACCUGAUACUGCUGUGGCUUGAGUCCGGUAGGGGAGCGUGGAAUUCCUGGUGUAGCGGUGAAAUGCGCAGAUAUCAGGAGGAACACCAGCGGCGAAGGCGGCAUCCUGGACCAACACUGACACUGAUGAGCGAAAGCCAGGGGAGCAAACGGG
rnacentral:rRNA from 1 species